CAACUCGGCUGCAUGAAGCCGGAAUCGCUAGUAAUCGCGGAUCAGAAUGCCGCGGUGAAUACGUUCCCGGGUCUUGUACACACCGCCCGUCACACCAUGGGAGUCGGGAAUGCCCGAAGUCGGUGAGCUAACGAAAGAGGCAGCCGCCGAAGGCAGGCCCGGUAACUGGGGUGAAGUCGUAACAAGGUACC
rnacentral:rRNA from 1 species